AAGUCGUAACAAGGUUUCCGUAGGUGAACCUGCGGAAGGAUCAUUACCGAAUUGUCAACACGAGUUGUUGCUGGUCCUCGAACGGGGACACGUGCACGCUCUGUUUGCACAUCCACUCACACCUGUGCACCCUCUGUAGUUCUGCAGCCUGGGGGCUCUGUCCCCCUGCCGUGGUUCUAUGUAUUUACACACACACACGCUGUAACAAAGUCUCAUGGAAUGUAUACCGCGCUUAACGCAAUACAAUACAACUUUCAGCAACGGAUCUCUUGGCUCUC
rnacentral:misc_RNA from 1 species